rnacentral:rRNA from 1 species
AACGAACGCUGGCGGCAUGCCUAACACAUGCAAGUCGAACGAAGGCUUCGGCCUUAGUGGCGCACGGGUGCGUAACGCGUGGGAAUCUGCCUUUCGGUACGGAGUAACUCAGAGAAAUUUGAGCUAAUACCGUAUGAUGUCGCGAGACCAAAGAUUUAUCGCCGAGAGAUGAGCCCGCGUUGGAUUAGCUAGUUGGUGGGGUAAAGGCCUACCAAGGCGACGAUCCAUAGCUGGUCUGAGAGGAUGAUCAGCCACACUGGGACUGAGACACGGCCCAGACUCCUACGGGAGGCAGCAGUGGGGAAUAUUGGACAAUGGGCGAAAGCCUGAUCCAGCAAUGCCGCGUGAGUGAUGAAGGCCUUAGGGUUGUAAAGCUCUUUUACC